rnacentral:rRNA from 1 species
GUAACGCGUGGGUAACCUGCCUUAUACAGGGGGAUAACAGUCAGAAAUGGCUGCUAUACCGCAUAAGCGCACAGAGCUGCAUGGCUCAGUGUGAAAAACUCCGGUGGUAUAAGAUGGACCCGCGUUGGAUUAGCUUGUUGGNGGGGUAACGGCCCACCAAGGCGACGAUCCAUAGCCGGCCUGAGAGGGUGAACGGCCACAUUGGGACUGAGACACGGCCCAGACUCCUACGGGAGGCAGCAUG